GGGGAAAUAUAACAUUAUUCAUUUAAUUCCACAAAAGGCCUGUAACGUACUGCAGCUUCCUGCAGGCAACGUGAAACAUUGCUGAGGGAGAACUUUAUUCACAACAAAAGGAUAAAGAUGAAGAGGAGGGACUUGAGCAGCUUGUGAUGGCUGUAAUUGUAAAGAAUGGAUCUUCUAGGAGUGGAAGCCCAAAGGAUGCUGGAAUUGUUAUUGAGGCCUUAAAGGUGUUCACAGGGCAUGCUUUAUCCUUGGAUCUAUGCAUUGAAUCUCCAGUAUCCCAGGCAUCUUUUCAGGUGUUUCAGAAACUUUUCUUGGAGCUGGAUUCUUCAAAGUUUAUGAACUGAUUACAGUACAGUAAGUCUAAACUGCUGUCUGAUUUUCUGGGUGUGAAUCAAUGUAACAGAACACAAACAUGGAACCUUUCGUCGGGAAAUGUGGACGGUUUUCUUUAAAGACUGUAAAAUACUUUUUGAAGUUUACACUGUUACAAAUACAUCAUUAAAAUGAGAUGCUUUCCUGUUCUUUUGACUGCAAUAAAAUAAGAAUUGAUUCAUCUUUGUCUGUCAUUCUGAAAUCAGAUAUAAUACUCAUUACUAAUAAAAAUAUUAAUGGAUGAUGUUAAAUUAAAAUAGUAUAAUUGAAUAGUAUUUAUUGUAUAGUGCUAGGUCUUUGUCCUGUAUACCCAAUAUUUUGUUUAAAUUUAAAUUAAUUUCUAAUUGCAAAUUGCAGAUUACCUUUUUGAAUGGGUUACUAUUAACGAGUUUAUGGAGUGAUUCUAACACAAUUUUUAUUUGUUGAAUUUAAUUAAUGAUAUUGCUUGUAAUCUGUUGCCACACUUUUAUUGAGUAGAUAUGGCAUAAUAUUUUUAUUGUAUAGUGCUAGAUCUUUGUCUAGU